rnacentral:rRNA from 1 species
GACGAACGCUGGCGGCGUGCUUAACACAUGCAAGUCGAGCGGUAAGGCCCUUUCGGGGGUACACGAGCGGCGAACGGGUGAGUAACACGUGGGUGACCUGCCCUCAGCUCUGGGAUAAGCCCGGGAAACUGGGUCUAAUACUGGAUAUGACUCCACGGUGCAUGCCGUGGGGUGGAAAGCCUUGUGCGGCUGAGGAUGGGCCCGNGGCCUAUCAGCUUGUUGGUGGGGUGAUGGCCUACCAAGGCGACGACGGGUAGCCGGCCUGAGAGGGCGACCGGCCACACUGGGACUGAGACACGGGCCCAGACUCCUACGGGAGGCAGCAGUGGGGAAUCUUGCGCAAUGGGCGAAAGCCUGACGCAGCGACGCCGCGUGA